AGGGAAAGGAUAAGGCUUCUAGAAAGUAUGUUCCAACACUUAUUUCUGAUCCUAAAUGAACAAGGACACACGGCAUGGUUUUGGAGAAGGAUUACAACUCCUAGUUCACCAAGGUAAGGGCAUAUAUGCGGCACCUAAGGAAUAAGGGUUAUGGAAUAUGAAAUAUAUGUUUUAAAUGCAUAAUUAACCCUUAGAAAUAGCUGGAAUUAAGGCACAAACUGAUUUGGAUAAGAUAGGAUAAGAUAAGGCUAGAUUAGGCAAGGAUAAGAUAAGAUAAGGUUGGAUAAGGUUUUGGAUAAUGUUCCUUCUUUUGAGCUGAUUCCUUAUCUUCUUUGUCUUGGAUUUAUUUCUUCAUUCUUUUCAGCACAUUCCUAGCCUCUUGAACUUCAAAUUCGUCCAUCCAUCUUGCUCCAUUCAUAUGCUAUCCAUUUGGUGCCCAAAACUGCUCCAAAAUGCUCCAAAUUGUACUUUCUUGCCAACUUUGUCAUAUGGACCUACAAACAUACGAAAAUAGCUUAAAACACUAUAAUAAACACAACCAAACUAUGAAAAUGCAAGAAAACAAGCUAACUAAGUCGCAUAAAUAUGCUCCUAUCAAAGCAAAGAUCAUUAAGUUCUAUGAAAAUCAUAAGCAUUGACAAGGCACUUGUAACUAUGAAUUGCAUGAUACUUAUGCCAGGAAUUUACUUAACACGAUCGUGACUAGCAACCUCCACUACUUGUGAAUAUAAGUUCAUAACGAUUAGGUGAAACUCCCUUAUAUUCUAGCAUCAAAUUCAUGUGCAAACUAAGUGUUAACCCUCAAUCAACAUACAAGAAUAAGUUAUCAAUCAAGCCGUUAAGUAAAUUGCAUUCAAGGUUUAUGAAAUCACAACUGAAAGUAAUCAAUUCAUAUUGCAAAUAUGUUCAUGGCUUUGAAUUCCCUCUAGCAAGGACGGGUUUAGCCACUCAUGUUCACAAAACAAAGGUAAACAGAUUUAUACAUUGAAAACAAAUGAAAGAAAACACCUAAACGUUCUAGCAACACGUCCAAGAACUUUCCUUCCUUUCCUUUGCUGCAGCACAAGGGAUGGAUGAUGGUUUUAGUGGUUAGAUGUAUGGAAGGAUGGCUUAAGGUUGUGUGGGAGGUGCGGUUGGAUGUUUAGAGAUGGAUGUAUGGCUAAAUGAUUGGUGUAUGGCGUGAUUGAUAUGGUAUUAACUAGCACUCAAAUUAAACCCUCUUUUUAUCAAUUGUAGCAAUGUAUGUAAGUAGGGAUCGUUCUAGACCGGGGAUUAGGAGGGAUUGCAAAAUCACUUGGAAUUGACUCAAAUACGUAAAAACAAGUUUAAAAUACUAAACUAGACUCAAAGAAUGCAAAACUAAACUCUAAAACACCAAAACAAACCAAAAGACUCAAAACAGCCCCAAAACACUCAAAACUGCCUUAAAAACACAAUCUGGGCAGUUUUGAACACUAGACACAAAAUUGGACGAAAAUUGGUUUUAACUUGACCUAAGAC
rnacentral:lncRNA from 1 species